GGUGGUUUCCUGCGUUGCGGCGUCGAAUUACUUGUGCCCUCACCAGAACAUCAUAAUCUUAGACCCCCAAUUGAUAAAGAUGAUAGAAUCUUUUUGACCUCCUACCGCUACUCUUAUCCCACCUACACGCCGAUAAGAUCCU
ensembl:ncRNA F41D9.10 ncRNA